rnacentral:rRNA from 1 species
UACGGGGGGGGCAAGCGUUGUUCGGAAUUACUGGGCGUAAAGGGUUUGUAGGUGGUUCACUCAGUCAGACGUGAAAUCCCUCAGCUUAACUGGGGAACUGCGUCUGAUACUGGUGAGCUUGAGUGCAGGAGAGGAACGCGGAAUUCCAGGUGUAGCGGUGAAAUGCGUAGAUAUCUGGAGGAACACCGGUGGCGAAGGCGGCGUUCUGGAUUGCAACUGACACUGAGAAACGAAAGCCAGGGGAGCAAACGGG